GACAGAGGAUGCAAGCGUUAUCCGGAAUGAUUGGGCGUAAAGCGUCUGUAGGUGGCUUUUUAAGUCCGCCGUCAAAUCCCAGGGCUCAACCCUGGACAGGCGGUGGAAACUACCAAGCUGGAGUACGGUAGGGGCAGAGGGAAUUUCCGGUGGAGCGGUGAAAUGCGUAGAUAUCGUAAAGGAAGACCAGUGGCGAAGGCGAAUCUCUGGACAGUUACUGACACUGAGGCACGAAGGCCAGGGGAGCAAACGGG
rnacentral:rRNA from 1 species